GAAAAUGCCGCCGGGGCGGCGGAGCGGGGCCUUGGCUCUGCCCGCCCCUCCUGCCGCCCUCCCUGGAAUGGUUCGAGGCAUUAUGGGUUUAUUGAGAUGUCGUGGAUAUGCUGGCUGUUCUGAUGGAGGGCAGUGGUGGCUUAGAUGAGGAAUUGGGUUCUCUUUAAACGAAGACGUGGUUAUCCAAACAGUUCCUUGCAGUGCUGUUGUCCCUGCUGCAUUAGCAGCCAGGAAUAUGCUGUUGCUUCAGUCUGAAAAUGGAACAGAUGCAGAAGAAACAGCUAUGUAACAAGGUGCUAUGUGACACGUGCUGUGAAAUUCAUUAACUUGCCACUACCUGAUUAUUGCAAGCAAUGAAAAGCUAUCCAGCAGUUUGUCAGUUGAAGCAGAAGACAAUCCUUUGCACCGAUACGUACUCAUGUGCACAUGCUGAUCAGCUGAAGUGUUAAAGCUCAAGGUGAGUGCUCCAGCCUUUAAUCAAUGACCAGUCAUUGAUUUAGCACAUCCACAAGUUUCAGGAAGUAGUUCCUCCAUUGCAUCCAGCUUUUAGAGUACCUUUAGACACUAGAGAUACUUUUCAAUGUGUAAUUGAUUAGGUAAAUGGUCUCUUAAUAGCAUGUGCUAAAGAGAGAUGUGAAAAGCAGCUGAGCAAUAUUGCCACUUCUGGGGGUUACAGGUGGUGGAUACUAUUAGUCAGAACUGGAAAACACAGAACUGUGACCUUUUAUAAGUACUGAGCGAAACACUGAGUUACUGCUGGUCAAUUAAAAGCAGUUUGGGUGCCUAAUAGUUGUUUCUGAUGAUACUCAUACACAGAUGAGUGAGGAGCUACUUGAGGCAAUGUGUGUGCAGCUGUCCAGCCAGAACUGAAGCAGCCUCUGGUGAAGGUGAAUGCAGAGAGGCUUAUGUGGCAGAGGAGCUCAGCAGAUGACAGGGGGCUUGUCCACGGACUGAAAGAGGAGCUCGGGAUGGGUGUGGGGUAUUACAAAACAGCAGAUGUCACAGGGAUGGAGCAAAGGUUUAAAAUGGAAGGAAUCGGCCAUGAGAGAGUGAUGGCCAGAUGGAAAUCCAGCAAAGGCCCUGAAGUGGAAUUAUGUAAGGCAAACAUCAAUGAAAAUCAGCUGGGGAGCAAGAACAGCCAGCAGCUAGGCUUGUUUCUGGUCUCUUGCCAUAGAUGAGACAUGUUUUAGGGUGUGCAUGAUGACUAGAGGCUGUGAUAGCUUUAGCUGUAGCUCUUUUGUCUCCAGCCAUUGUGAGUAAGUUCUGUGCUUAGUUCUCUGCUCUGGUGCAUUGCAGGAUUUUUAGGGUAAAUAUUUUUUCCAUCAGUGUAACCCACCAAUUGCCAACAUCUCGAGGCAGCUGGAUGGGGUGGUGAAUAUGCCAUUCUUCCGCUGGUGGCUAUCAGAAACGCUUAAGAGGAAAAUUCCAUCUUUGUUCUACAUAGUGCUGUGCUAGCAAGUGCUUUCCAACAGGCUGUAAUUCCCAGAGCAGUGGGGCAGGAGCUGCUACAUGAUCCAGGAGCAGGCUCCCAUGUAGUGGGUUGGAUGCAAGGCACCCACCAAAGCCUCUCUUAACAUUCGCCUCCACAGCUGGACAGAGGAGAGAAAAUACAAAAAAGGGUUGAGAUAAGGACCAGGAGAGAUCGCUCGUCAGAUACUGUCACAGGCAAAAGAGAGUCUUAUUAGAGAUACUAAUUGAAUUCAUGGCUAAAUAGUCAGAGCAGGAUAAUGAGAAACAACAUAAAACCUUAAAAACAUCAUCUUCCCACACCCUCCUUCCCAGCUCUACCUCCUACCCCAGCUGUGCAGGGACACAGGCAAUGGGGGUGACAAUCAGUUCAUCAGGGAAAGCAGUCACUCCCCUGCUGCUCCAUGGGGUCUCUCCCAUGGGAGACAGUUCUCCAUGAACUUUUGCAGCAUGAGUCCGUCUCACAGGCAGCAGAUCCCUGUGAAUUACUGCAGUGUGAGUCCAUCCCACAGGCAACACUCCCCAUCACA